rnacentral:lncRNA from 1 species
AAGCCGGGGAGGAGGGAAAGAGACAGGAAGGGAGGGAGGAGCCAGGGAAGGGCAGGGAGAGGGCGACAAAGACUGCGCCCGCGGCUGGCGCUGGCGGUCCCCCGCCACAGCGGCCGGUGGGGCCCCUGUCCCCCGCUUGGGCACCUGGAGAGGGGGCGCAGGAGCAGCGGGCGGGGCUGGGGUGGGAGGAGAAGGCGGGAGCAGAGGAGAAAACCGAGGGGCCAGAGGACGUCGCCAGGGAUCGCGAAGGAGUCCGGCCCAGUUUUAAUGACGCCCCCAGAGGAGAGGAGAGGGGACACCCCGGGGCCCUGCCGCCCGCCCGCCGGGUCCCAGCCCUGCCCGCCCGCUGAACUGCCUCCCACCUACUGCUGCUGGUUUUGCUGUGGGCAGGGAUAUGGAGAUGAGAUAGAAGCCGGCUUCUCCCCUCAUGGCUGAUGCUCCCAAGGGGGCCAUAGACGUGAACAGAUCACCAGAGGAAGGUUUUAAAAGCAGAAUCAAAGUGUAAAACAGAGAGAAAUUUCUCUGAUGCGGCAUUUACAUAAGAAACACAUUCAGAAAAAGAGACUGUGAUUCUGAAAGUGUCCUGAUUAUACUGCACGGAAAAUCUCCCUGGGAUUGGAGGAGGUUUAAAUUCGUUGGGAGAGGAGGAAAUAAAAUCCCCUUUUCAAUUUGGAAAUCUCUCCCACACUGAAAAUUCACCGGAGGAAAUGGUCACACUGCGUUCGGGAGCAGACCACGUCCUGUCUGUUGGAGGGCUCCACCUUCUCAAGCCUUCAUUACAAUCCCCCAGCUCCUCUUGCAUCCGUUUAACAAGUCUCACGUUGCGCUUGGUGCUACUGCAUAGGCCUUGAGCACAACUCUCAAGGAGGCCCUUGUUUUUGGUGGUUGUGCAUUAUGCUCUAGAAAUGUAUCCACAGGCCAUUUAAUUGACUCGAGAAAUCAAAGUCAGUAGGAAUAGCACAAAAUGUCAUGUACUUCCACAAGCCCAUAUUAUCUCUGUGUGUAUCUGUAUACAUUUUCUCCAUCUAUUCCAAUAUUUGCAGGUUAAACUGCAU